AUUGAACGCUGGCGGCAUGCCUUACACAUGCAAGUCGAACGGUAGCACAGAGAGCUUGCUCUCGGGUGACGAGUGGCGGACGGGUGAGUAACGUCUGGGAAACUGCCCGAUGGAGGGGGAUAACUACUGGAAACGGUAGCUAAUACCGCAUAACGCGCCAGACCAGAGUGGGGGACCUUCGGGCCUCCACACAUCCGAUGUGCCCAGGUGGGAUUAGCUAGUAGGUGGGGUAAUGGCUCACCUAGGCGACGAUCCCUAGCUGGUCUGAGAGGAUGACUAGCCACACUGGAACUGAGACACGGUCCAGACUCCUACGGGAGGCAGCAGUGGGGAAGAUUGCACAAUGGGCGCAAGCCUGAUGCAGCCAUGCCGCGUGUAUGAAGAAGGCCUUCGGGUUGUAAAGUACUUUCAGCGGGGAGGAAGGCGGUGAAGUUAAUAGCUUCACCGAUUGACGUUACCCGCAGAAGAAGCACCGGCUAACUCCGUGCCAGCCGCCGCCGUAA
rnacentral:rRNA from 1 species